UCUUGGUGUUGUAUCCAUUAUCACCUGCAC
rnacentral:piRNA from 1 species